rnacentral:rRNA from 1 species
AGUGAACGCUGGCGGUAGGCCUAACACAUGCAAGUCGAACGGCAGCACAGUAUGAGCUUGCUCUUACGGGUGGCGAGUGGCGGACGGGUAAGGACAACAUCGGAAUCUACUUUUUCGUGGGGGAUAACGUCGGGAAACUUACGCUAAUACCGCAUAUGCCGUACGGGUGGAAGCAGGGGAUCUUCGGACAUUGUGCGUUUGAAUGAGCUGAUGUCGGAUUAGCUCGUUGGCGGGGUAAAGGCCCACCAAGGCGACGAUGCGUAGCAGGUCUGAGAGGAUGAUCGGCCACACUGGAACUGAGACACGGUCCAGACUCCUACGGGAGGCAGCAGUGGGGAAUAUUGUAGAAUGGGCGCAAGCCUGAUCCAGCCAUACCGCGUGGGUGAAGAAGGCCUUCGGGUUGUAAAGCCCUUUUUUUGGGAAAGAAAAGCAGCAGGUUAAUACCCCGCUGUGCUGACGGUACCUAAAGAAUAAGCACCGGCUAACUUCGUG